UCCGGUUUGUCACCGGCAGUCUCGCAUGAGUCCCCAACUAAAUGCUGGCAACAUGCGACGGGGGUUGCGCUCGUUGCGGGACUUAACCCAACAUCUCACGACACGAGCUGACGACAGCCAUGCAGCGCCUGAACCAGAGGUCCCCGAAGGGAAAACUUUAUUUCUAAAGCGAUCCUCUGUUGUCUAGCCCGGGUAAGGUUCUUCGCGUUGCGUCGAAUUGAACCACAUGCUCCACCGCUUGUGCGGGCCCCCGUCAAUUUCUUUGAGUUUUAACCUUGCGGCCGUACUCCCCAGGCGGAUAACUUAACGCGUUAGCUGCGCCACCGAAGCUCUAAGAGCCCCGACAGCUAGUUAUCAUCGUUUACGGCGUGGACUAC
rnacentral:misc_RNA from 1 species